GAUCUCGACUGCUGGAAUGCAUCGAGAUCUAAAGCUCCGGCGCCUAAGGAUGGGUCUGCGGCCUAUCAGGUAGUAGUGGGUGUAGCGUACCUACUAGCCUACGACGGGUACGGGUUGUGAGAGCAAGAGCCCGGAGAUGGAUUCUGAGACACGAAUCCAGGCCCUACGGGGUGCAGCAGGCGCGAAAACUUUACAAUGCUGGAAACAGCGAUAAGGGGACCUCGAGUGCCAGGUUACAAAUCUGGCUGUCGUGAUGCCUAAAAAGCAUUGCAUAGCAAGGGCCGGGCAAGACCGGUGCCAGCCGCCGCGGUAACACCGGCGGCUCGAGUGGUAACCGUUAUUAUUGGGUCUAAAGGGUCUGUAGCCGGCCGGAUAAGUCUCUUGGGAAAUCCAGCAGCUCAACUGUUGGGCUUUCAGGAGAUACUGUCUGGCUCGAGGCCGGGAGAGGUGAGAGGUACUUCAGGGGUAGGGGUGAAAUCUUGUAAUCCUUGAAGGACCACCAGUGGCGAAGGCGUCUCACCAGAACGGACCUGACGGCAAGGGACGAAAGCUAGGGGCACGAACCGGAUUAGAUACCCGGGUAGUCCUAGCCGUAAACGAUACUCGCUAGGUGUCGGCCACGGUGCGACCGUUGUCGGUGCCGUAGGGAAGCCGUGAAGCGAGCCACCUGGGAAGUACGGCCGCAAGGCUGAAACUUAAAGGAAUUGGCGGGGGAGCACCACAACGGGUGGAGCUUGCGGUUUAAUUGGA
rnacentral:rRNA from 1 species